GUCGGAGUGGCGGAAUUGGUAGACGCGCUAGGUUGAGGGCCUAGUGAGCAUUAGCUCGUGGAGGUUCGAGUCCUCUCUCCGACA
rnacentral:tRNA from 1 species